GAUGAACGCUAGCGGCAGGCUUAAUACAUGCAAGUCGUGGGGCAGCAUGAGUGUAGCAAUACAUUUGAUGGCGACCGGCAAACGGGUGCGGAACACGUACACAACCUUCCUAUAAGUGGGGAAUAGCCCAGAGAAAUUUGGAUUAAUACCCCGUAAUAUAAUGAUGUGGCAUCACAUUAUUAUUAUAGCUUCGGCGCUUAUUGAUGGGUGUGCGGCUGAUUAGAUAGUUGGCGGGGUAACGGCCCACCAAGUCUACGAUCAGUAGCUGAUGUGAGAGCAUGAUCAGCCACACGGGCACUGAGACACGGGCCCGACUCCUACGGGAGGCAGCAGUAAGGAAUAUUGGUCAAUGGACGCAAGUCUGAACCAGCCAUGCCGCAUGAAGGAUUAAGGUCCUCUGGAUUGUAAACUUCUUUUAUCUGGGACGAAAAAAGGCGAUUCUUCGUCACUUGACGGUACCAGAUGAAUAAGCACCGGCUAACUCCGUGCCAGCCGCCGCUGUAACAC
rnacentral:rRNA from 1 species